rnacentral:rRNA from 1 species
ACAUUAGAUACCCCGGUAGUCCCAGCCGUAAACUAUGCGCGUUAGGUGUAUCGGUGACCACGAGUUACCGAGGUGCCGAAGGGAAACCGUGAAACGUGCCGCCUGGGAAGUACGGUCGCAAGGCUAGAAACUUAAAGGAAUUGGCGGGGAGCACCACAACGGGUGGAGCCUGCGGUUUAAUUGGACUCAACGCCGGGAAGCUCACCGGAUAAGACAGCGGAAUGAUUGCCGGGCUGAAGACUCUGCAUGACUAGCUG